UGAAGGGCAAAUGAGGUAGGAGGAAAUACAAAUUUCGUUUCAGCACCGUUGGAGUGCCAAGCCGUGAAAAGCAUUUGGCCAGAAGACAAGGUGGUGUCCUUUUCAGCUUGGAGGAGGGAGCCUCCUUCUGGAACCAGAUGUUGACCUGGAGAAUCUUCUUCGCUUCCAUGAUCUCGACCUUCACCUUGAACUUCUUCAUGAGUAUCUACCACAACAAGCCGGG